rnacentral:rRNA from 1 species
UACGGGGGGGGCAAGCGUUGUUCGGAAUUACUGGGCGUAAAGGGCUCGUAGGCGGCCAACUAAGUCGGACGUGAAAUCCCCAGGCUCAACCUGGGAACUGCGUCCGAUACUGGAUGGCUUGAAUCCGGGAGAGGGAUGCAGAAUUCCAGGUGUAGCGGUGAAAUGCGUAGAUAUCUGGAGGAAUACCGGUGGCGAGGGCGGCAUCCUGGACCGGCAUUGACGCUGAGGAGCGAAGGCCAGGGGAGCAAACGGG